CAGUCUACCUGUCAUGUAAAUAACAUAUGGAGGAUUUCUCCCACAGUAUCCCACAGCCCAGUUUAUUUAAUGUAGUUUUUUUUAGAGUGUUGGCAUAAUAGUUUCUUUGUGGCGCUUCAUAUCAACGCGCUUUUGUUAAUUGCCAGCAGCUCAGAGAAAGCAGCAUUCCCUGCUCCGGUCGUCAGGGAUUUAGGGAAGGACUGAAUCCGAGCCCCGACUGAGACAAACAAUGGCAGCUAUGAAAGGCGAGGGGAGGGGUCGACCCAAUGCAAAUAUCCACUUUGUGCGCCCUGGAAAACCUGCACUAAACACUGACAACUACCAACUUCCACCCAAAGAAUUCGCUGAGCAAGUUCCUACAUGGAUUCAGUGAUUGUGCAACAAGUGGGGGACUUUCUUGGUGACAACCGGCACAAACGGGACGGUUUUAUGAGUCAGGACGCCGCAGCAUCACUGAUAUGUGCCAAGUGCACCUGCUGAACCACGAAACAGAGAGUCAACAAAGCAGUGCGUUUGAUGGAACAUGUCAGGUUCCUCCAGGACUUGGGGGCUGGUUCUCUUCUCUGGUUAGACAGCUGUCAGCACUACAGAGCUCAGAGAGCCACCGACUCUUCCAUGUGUUGUUGGAGACUUCAAAGCGGGAGAGGAGCAGA